AAUAUCAGGUGAUGAGUGAUGGAGGUAAAUGUCCUCAUGACUGUCCGUUAAUUGACUGAUCACUUCCUGACAUUGACCUGCUGAUGGUUUUUCGAGGUAUACAUUACUACCAUACCAGGUCCACUUCACCUCUCCAGUCUCUUCUCCUAAUAAUAAACACAGUGAUGCUGGUUUUUGUACCAGUAAGUCAUUACAGCUGGUAGGAUGGAAUGGGUGUGGUCUAUCUUUUAUCAUGUGACAGUAAACAAAAAUCAAUUUCCUUGGUCCAUUAUGCCAGCUAGUCAACUUCAAAGCACAAGCUAAUAGCAGAAGAUUCUAUAUGAUAACUUACAAUAAUACUGACUAUGAGUUUUGGUAAUUUUUAUUGUGUUUAUUUUUAAUAUUUUUAUAAAGUUUUAUUGUCAAACUCAAUCACUGGUA